rnacentral:snRNA from 1 species
GGAUAUGAGGGUGUUCUGGCUGUAACAUGUCACCCCAUUGAUCACCAGGGUUGAUCUGGUUGGCUGGGCAGGUGUCCCCUUCCUUCCUCACCAUCCGAAGCUGCACACUCCAGGCUGUGCAGUGGGUCGAAGAGGACCCUUUCCUCUGUCAAGAGUGUACAAGUAGCUGCACUUCUCAGCUAGAACCUCCAAACAAGCUCUCAAAGUCUAACAACCCCUGCAAGUUAUUGUUAUUUUUGUAUUACAGAUGAAGUUGGCUGUGAGAGGUUGAGUAACAUUUCCAAG